rnacentral:lncRNA from 1 species
UUUCGUUUCCCUGCACCAUUUGUUGAAAAGAGUGUUCAGUUUUAAUAUUUAAAUUUUCUUUUGAUUUCUCUUCAUAAUUCCAUAAAUUCUGCUAGUAUUCUUUACUUUGAAGAGCUACUUGAUUAACCUAAAUAGUAUCACUUCAAUUUAAGUGUAUCCAUCUGAAAUUACAAUUCAGAAACCAAAUGUAAUUUCUUAUAAUAUUGUUAAAAUGUGUUUGUAGCCUGUGCUAUGACCAUAGCAGAAAUUCAAUCAAAAUCUAUUAAAUGAAUGAUGGACUAAAUGAAUGAACCUGAAAUGAAACUGCAAUGAUUUGAAUAUG